GACGCCACCUCCGUCCUCGCGCACCACCCCGCGCCGCCUCCUCCCUUCACCACCCCCGCCGCCUCCUUCCUCCUGCCGCGAAGCAGUCCGCCUCAUCCCGUCGCCGGAAGCCCGAGACCCCUCCUCCCUCACCCCGUGAAAGCAUGCCGUAUAUUUUAUUAUACACAAGCAUGGUGCAUCUAGUCUGUCAAAACAGAAAGUUGUUCAGCAAGUGUUGAGAAGAAAAUGGUGGUGAAGAGCUUUUAAUGCUUGCUGGUUGCACUACUAAAAGUAAUUCUCAAAUGGAUGCUGCUGCUGAACUAGAGAGUCACAUGUUUGGCUUCUCUGGGGAUGUUGCAAGCUGUGAGAAUGAAACUAAUUUCACUGAUUAUGCGAAACAGUCAAAUGAGCUUGGCCAUACAAGAAUGUCGGGUACUGGUGGGGGUGAUGUUCAUCAGAUGCUCGCAGAGCACACCAUUAUAUCUGAAGCAUUUCUUUCUGCAACAACUUGUUCAUGGUUUGAGAAAGACAAAGCUUUGCUUGCCUCUCUCCUUAAUUCCUUGCAAAGUCUUUGGGCACAACCACAGUGGCAAGCUUGCCUAAAGGAUUUAUGUUGUCACGGUGAAUUUAGGAGGUCUAUGCUCAAAAUUGUAAAAUUAUUUGAGGAAGAGCUUAAAAAACACAGGGUAGAGACUGAUGUAUUACAUGAAUCAGACCAAAUAAGCUAUUCAACUUUAACUUUCCUAGUUUCAUUGAUCAUUCCUCCCCUUCUUAAGCUGAUUCGAUUUGUACAUACACUAUGGAUGGAUGAAACUGUGUUUAGAUUCCCAGAGGAACUUAUAUAAGCUAGAGAGUGGAGAUUCAAAGGAGAAAUGCUAGAAUUUCUCAAUGUUAGUCUUGAAGAGUUGGAAGAGAAUGAAUUAGCACAAUGGUUACAACUAAUCCGAGAGAGUGGGUACAACCUAUUAGGUUUAUGUGCAACCAUAAAGGGAGCAUUCUCAGAGUUGUUAGACAUUUCAUCAAUCAAUGAUGCUAUAAUGCAAAACAUAAGAUCAAUGGAAUUUCGGCAUGUAGCCAAACUUAUCGAUCUUGUCAUUAUUCCAUUCAUCAAGCAUUGCCCUCAUAAUCUAUGGGAAGAACGGAUGUUGAAGCUCUUACUACCCUUGUUUGACUACUGUGGAGACAUGCUUCACUACUCAUGGUUCACUCUUCUAAAUAAUGGUCGGGCUAAUGUUCCACAUUACUGUUCUUUUGCAAAAUAGCCUUGGUAUUUCCUGAUAUUACGAAAUAGUGGUUCAAACAAGUGAUAUGAGCAUAGUUGAUAAAAAAAAUCCCUAUAAUAUUUUGUAAUAUAAUUCUAUAGCAAAGCAUGGGUAUUUUGCUA